UACAGGGGGUGCAAACGUUGCUCGGAAUCAUUGGGCGUAAAGCGCACGUAGGCGGUUCGUUAUGUCGGAUGUGAAAGCCCUUGGCUUAACCGAGGAAGUGCAUCCGAAACUGGCGAGCUAGAGUACGAAAGAGGAUCGCGGAAUUCCCGGUGUAGAGGUGAAAUUCGUAGAUAUCGGGAGGAACACCGGUGGCGAAGGCGGCGAUCUGGGGUCGAUACUGACGCUGAGGUGCGAAAGCGUGGGGAGCAAACAGG
rnacentral:rRNA from 1 species